rnacentral:rRNA from 1 species
GACGAACGCUGGCGGCGUGCUUAACACAUGCAAGUCGAACGAUGAAGCCGGAGCUUGCUCUGGUGAAUUAGUGGCGAACGGGUGGGUAACACGUGAGUAACCUGCCCUUGACUCUGGGAUAACUGCGGGAAACUGUAGCUAAUACCGGAUACGACCCUCGGAGGCAUCUCCUGGGGGUGGAAAGAAUUUCGGUCAAGGAUGGACUCGCGGCCUAUCAGCUAGGUGGUGAGGUAAAGGCUCACCAAGGCGACGACGUGUAGCCGGCCUGAGAGGGUGACCGGCCACACUGGGACUGAGACACGGCCCAGACUUGUACGGGAGGCAGCAGUGGGGAAUAUUGCACAAUGGGCGCAAGCCUGAUGCAGCAACGCCGCGUGAGGGAUGACGGCCUUCGGGUUGUAAACCUCUUUUAGCAGGGAAGAAGCGAAAGUGACGGUACCUGCAGAAAAAGCACCGGCUAACUACGUGCCAGCCGCCGCAGUAA